GGGAGCUGGAGGGGAGGUGGGGUUGAGGGAACCCAGGCGUUGGCACCUGCGUCUGUAAUGCUGCUGAUUUGCCCGCACCUCACUCUCCGGAAAGUAGGUUUCCUACCUCUAAAUUCUGUGUGUUCCUUGAUUGACUUGAUUUGGGUCCCCUGGACCAAUCAACUGUAGCCACAGAGUGAGUCUCCGUGAACACGAUGGCUCCUCGCCCCGCUGGGCUCGGGCCUAUAUUAACAUCAGGCGGGAAGAGACCGUGUUUCCCCAACACACGUCAGGACUGCAGCCCCUGACCCGAGCCUGAGUCCUGGUGACGUGCCCCCAGCCUGCUGAUGUCCCAGGGCCCUCCACCUGCCUUGAGAAGGCGCAGGCUGAAGGAGAGGGCCAGCUGGGACCUCCCGUGUGAUGUUCAAGGGCCCCACAAAGUUCUGCUCUACCAUGGCCAUGAAAAAGCUCCCUGACUCGGCUCCUGGACAACACCAUCCCUCGGGUUUCCUGUUAUCCUGAGAAUUGAGUGUCUGCAUCCAGGAUAUUUUCUCAGUAUAGACUUCCAGAGGUGGAAUUUCUGGAUCAAAGAAAGUGGACAUUUACAAGAUUCUCAGCACACUGCCAAGUGCACUGCCCUCGAAGCCAGGUAUCUUUUGUCCCAGAGGAGCAGAAAAUGUGUCCACAGGAUGCUGAAGACCUUGCUUCAGAGGUCAGAAGACCUUGUGCAGAGUUCAGUGACAAAGGCGGAUGGGCAGUCUUCAUCCAUGAACCCAACAGAUCUAUUCUGCACUUCUGUUGCAGCGGCUAUGGUCUUCUGCACACACGGCCUCCCGUAACCAAGGCAGAGUCAGGUGGAUUCACAGUUGUGUCAAAAGUGGGCUUUGCUUCUGUCCUAAGGGAUCUGUUAUAGGGUGCUUUUUUCUAUUCAGGCCUCAGCAAUUUCUAGACCAUCUUUCUUCCAGAGUACACCUCUCACUCAUCUUCAAUGUUAACUGCUAACAUGUUUUGCAAACCUGACCAUAUCUGCGCCCUGUUCACUCCUGUAAGUCCUUCCAAGGUCUCUCUCCCACUCACAAGGCAACAUCCAGGCCCUAAAGAAUGGCAGCCAGACCCCCCAUUACCUGGUUCUUUGUAGUCUCUGGAUCCAGCCUCAUCCUGUUCACUUCUGCACAGGACUCACGUUCCAGGUAUAACAGCACACCGGAAGUUUCUACACGCACCUCUGUUUCUCUGCAUUUCUCACCCCUUCAUCCGGCUCACUCCUUCAGAACCAGGCUCAGAAUUCCUCCUCCAAGGAUCCUUCCCUGACCUCACUCAGGCCUUAAGAUCUCCUUCCACUGUGGACUUUCACAGCCUGAGCAGAUUGAACACGUUUUCUAUUGUGGUGAGUGUCCUCCAGGGCAGUGGCUGGGCCUGGCUCGCCUCUAAAUCUCUGGCACUGUGCCUGCAGUGUAGCGUAAACCCAGAGAACAUGUGUGGAAAGAAUGAUGGAAUGCACGAAGGUGCAUCACUGCCCGGAUGCUGAGGUCCGGAUGCUCACCAUCAUCCUGUCCUGACGUCUCCACUUGUCACCCAUAGAGGACAAUGUCUAAUGGACAACAGCUGUGAAUUCAAUGCUCCUUCGCUGGAGGAAGGCACGGCCUGCCCCUGGGGGGUCCACAGAGUGCUCAUGUUGAGAGCGCUGAAUAUAGAACUGCUUGCUAAGUACUUUUUGACUUGGAGAGAAAAAGAAUAAUAAUUUUAGCUAUCUGAAAACUAAGAGGUGGCCAGAGUGUUUGGUUUGAAGUUAAAGACCAGGAGGACUGCUUAUCUUAAGCAUCUUUAAAGAUCUUUAAUGUUGGCCAGAAGAGAUUUUUGGAUCACAGGAGGACCUUAGAAAUAGAGGCUGGCGAAUUCUGUGCAGCCUCAGUGCCAGGGCUCCGGGGGUCUGAAUUCAUCCACAGACUGCGACAUUCCCGCAGUGUGUGCCCUGAUUUGUUAUGUGAUAGCAAACCAAUAAAAACACCCAAGCCUGCAGCCCUCUCUCUCACGCAAAGGGAUGGAGAAAAGCUUUCUGCUUGAAACUCCCUCAUAGGUCUCAAGAAGUGGAAGAUGCUUUCCGGCUUGCUGGUGAGAAGGCAGGGUGCUUUAAAGGGCUCUGAGCCCAGUUACUUCGCGUGUUGCCAGGGGUACACGCAUGUGCACGUUUAUUCAACAAGUGUCUCCUGAGCGCUCGCGGGCCAGACGCUCUGCUCUCCAUGGGCUUCUCACACUUCUCAUAUCUUGCGAGUGAGGCACGACCUGCCCUUUGCUCUGGACUACCUUUUCAGGGAUGUUUGUGUAGCAAGCAGCCUUGGAAGAUGGAGGAAGGGCCUCCCCCGGAGCAGAGGGCAGGCCUGCUCGCUCCCCAUUGAGAGUCUCUGCUUCGCUAGCUCAGGGCUCCUCUUCUGGAACUCAACCUGCCAUGUGGGCAAGCAUCCGUCUGGGACUGUCCACACUGCCACGUGGGACUGGGGGACGAGGAGAACUGAUGCAACGUGCUAAUGCUCAUGCCCUUGUUGUGCUGAGGGUAACAAAGUUCUCCGUCUUGGACCCAGGAGCCUCGCGGCUUCUGUCAGCAGCCACGAAGUGUUACAGGCAAGCAGGUCACGUUGCGCAGCCUUCACAGUUCCUCACACGCUUAUAUCCUUACUGAAUUUUAUAUUCAAAACACCCUAAAAUGCAAAUAUUUUUAUCUUCAUUUUGUUGAUUAGAACUGAAGCAGAGAAGUUAAGUAACUCUUCCCACGUCACAGAGCUCGUUAGUGCCAGAGGGGAGAUUUUUGUUCCGCCCCCCACCCGUCUCACUCCAGAACCACACUCUUUCCAUGAUAUGUUGACGUGUUAAAGUGCAAACACCGCAGUGCCUGUAGUUCUGUUCAUGGGCUGGGCCCGUUCAAAUCCUGUGGGCCCUAAAUCAUUGCAUUGCUGUGAUGAUAAAAGUGCUCAGGCAGAGAACGGAAAACGAUUGAGCAACGUCUCUCCCCAAGGACACACACAGGACAAAACCACUGGGAGUCCCUCCCAUGGAAGGCCGUUCUCUCUCAUAUUUACAGAGCGGUUCGCUCGGAGCCCUGACCUACUGCCCUUUCUCCUGGUGGACAGAGGGAAGGUGUCUUCCACCAGGCAGGAGGGGUCGGGUCAGGGGACAUCCAGACUCGACAACUGGGCCGCUGGAGCAGUGGGCGUGCAUGAGGCGUGUCUCCAGCCCUUGGGCAGGGUCCAAACCUGGAUCAGCCUUUAGAAGCCCCCUUGUACAUUUCCACAGUGCAUUUGAUCUUGUGUCCUGUUGAAUUUGAUCAUUCCCAUGUCCUUAUGACAAAGACCGACCUGUUCCUUCAGCGGUUCCCUAUUGCCCAUGGGGCGAAGUCCUAUUUCUUAGCCUGGGCCCAAGGCCCUCCGUGGUCCAGCCUCAGUUUACGGUGCCCCAACCCAAACCGCCCUCUCCUCUGCAGUCUUUUCCAACUCCGCUUGUUCCCCAGGUGGAACCUGCCCCUCCAGUUCUCCUUGGUGUUCACAUUUAUCUGGAUCACUUCCCUCACGGCAUCCGGAACACCUUAGGGCUGCCUACAUUUGCAUGUUUGUCUUCUCCACCGAGCCAUGAACCCCUUGAAGCGGGGCCUGUUAUAUUCAGGCGUCAUCCCCACACUUACAGAGGCACCUAAUGCAUGUUCGUGGAUUGCAGCUGUGGACUCAGACACACAAACACAAUGUGCAUUGAUCGAUUUGUC
ensembl:lncRNA